rnacentral:tRNA from 1 species
GCCCGGAUGGUGAAAUCGGUAGACACGCAGGACUUAAAAUCCUGUGACCAGUGAUGGUCGUGUGGGUUCAAGUCCCACUCCGGGUA